CCCCCCUGGGACUGAGACCCGGCCCAGAUUCCUACGGGAGGCAGCAGUGGGAAUAUUGGACAAUGGGCGAAAGCCUGAUCCAGCAAUACCGAGUGAGUGAUGAAGGCCUUAGGGUUGUAAAGCUCUUUUAGCAAGGAAGAUAAUGACGUUACUUGCAGAAAAAGCCCCGGCUAACUCCGUGCCAGCAGCCGCGGUAAGACGGAGGGGGCUAGCGUUGUUCGGAAUUACUGGGCGUAAAGAGUGCGUAGGCGGUUUAGUAAGUUGGAAGUGAAAGCCCGGGGCUUAACCUCGGAAUUGCUUUCAAAACUACUAAUCUAGAGUGUAGUAGGGGAUGAUGGAAUUCCUAGUGUAGAGGUGAAAUUCUUAGAUAUUAGGAGGAACACCGGUGGCGAAGGCGGUCAUCUGGGCUACAACUGACGCUAAUGCACGAAAGCGUGGGGAGCAAACAGGAUUAGAUACCCUGGUAGUCCACGCCGUAAACGAUGAGUGCUAGAUGUCGGAAGAUUCUCUUUCGGUUUCGCAGCUAACGCAUUAAGCACUCCGCCUGGAGAGUACGGUCGCAAGAUUAAAACUCAAAGGAAUUGACGGGGGCUCGCACAAGCGGUGGAGCAUGCGGUUUAAUUCGAUGUUACGCGAAAAACCUUACCAACCCUUGACAUGGUGGUCGCGGAUCGCAGAGAUGCUUUCCUUCAGCUCGGCUGGGACCGCACACAGGUGUUGCACGGCUGUCGUCAGCUCGUGUCGUGAGAUGUUGGGUUAAGUCCCGCAACGAGCGCAACCCUCAUUCUUAUUUGCCAGCGGGUAAUGCCGGGAACUAUAAGAAAACUGCUGGUGAUAAGCCAGAGGAAGGUGGGGACGACGUCAAGUCAUCAUGGCCCUUACGGGUUGGGCUACACGCGUGCUACAAUGGUGUUUACAGAGGGAAGCAAGACGGCGACGUGGAGCAAAUCCCUAAAAGACAUCUCAGUUCGGAUUGUUCUCUGCAACUCGAGAGCAUGAAGUUGGAAUCGCUAGUAAUCGCGGAUCAGCAUGCCGCGGUGAAUACGUUCUCGGGCCUUGUACACACUGCCCGUCACGCCAUGGGAGUUGGUUUUACCUGAAGGUGGUGAGAUAAAGCAAGAGGCAGCCAACCACGGUAGAAUCAGAGCGUAGGGGGUCGUUACGAGCCCAAAAAAAUAAAAACCCGG
rnacentral:rRNA from 1 species